rnacentral:rRNA from 1 species
GCAUAAAUGAUUUUUGGAUUCGGAGCGAGUGGCGAACUGGUGAGUAACACGUGGGUAACCUGCCCCGAAGCGGGGGAUAACAUUUGGAAACAAGUGCUAAUACCGCAUAAUUAGUUGGAACCGCAUGGUUCCAACUUGAAAGAUGGCUCUGCUAUCACUUUGGGAUGGACCCGCGCCGUAUUAGUUAGUUGGUGAGAUAAAAGCCCACCAAGACGAUGAUACGUAGCCGACCUGAGAGGGUAAUCGGCCACAUUGGGACUGAGACACGGCCCAGACUCCUACGGGAGGCAGCAGUAGGGAAUCUUCCACAAUGGACGAAAGUCUGAUGGAGCAACGCCGCGUGAGUGAUGAAGGUUUUCGGAUCGUAAAACUCUGUUGUUAAAGAAGAACAAGUGUUAGAGUAACUGUUAACACUUUGACGGUAUUUAACCAGAAAGCCACGGCUAACUACGUGCCAGCAGCCGCGGUAAUACGUAGGUGGCAAGCGUUGUCCGGAUUUAUUGGGCGUAAAGCGAGCGCAGGCGGUUUUGUAAGUCUGCUGUGAAAGCCCUCAGCUCAACUGAGGAAGUGCAGUGGAAACUACAAAACUUGAGUACAGAAGAGGAAAGUGGAACUCCAUGUGUAGCGGUGAAAUGCGUAGAUAUAUGGAAGAACACCAGUGGCGAAGGCGGCUUUCUGGUCUGUUACUGACGCUGAGGCUCGAAAGCAUGGGUAGCGAACAGGAUUAGAUACCCUGGUAGUCCAUGCCGUAAACGAUGAAUACUAGGUGUUGGAAGGGUUUCCGCCCUUCAGUGCCGCAGCUAACGCAUUAAGUAUUCCGCCUGGGGAGUACGACCGCAAGGUUGAAACUCAAAGGAAUUGACGGGGGCCCGCACAAGUGGUGGAGCAUGUGGUUUAAUUCGAUGCUACGCGAAGAACCUUACCAGCUCUUGACAUCUUCUGCCAACCCAAGAGAUUGGGCGUUCCCUUCGGGGACAGAAUGACAGGUGGUGCAUGGUUGUCGUCAGCUCGUGUCGUGAGAUGUUGGGUUAAGUCCCGCAACGAGCGCAACCCUUAUUAUUAGUUGCCAGCAUUUAGUUGGGCACUCUAGUGAGACUGCCGGUGAUAAACCGGAGGAAGGUGGGGACGACGUCAAAUCAUCAUGCCCCUUAUGAGCUGGGCUACACACGUGCUACAAUGGAUGGUACAACGAGUCGCGAAACCGCGAGGUCAAGCUAAUCUCUUAAAGCCAUUCUCAGUUCGGAUUGCAGGCUGCAACUCGCCUGCAUGAAGUUGGAAUCACUAGUAAUCGUGGAUCAGCAUGCCACGGUGAAUACGUUCCCGGGCCUUGUACACACCGUCCGUCACACCAUGAGAGUUUGUAACACC